rnacentral:rRNA from 1 species
AGGCGACGAUCUAUAGCUGGUCUGAGAGGAUGAUCAGCCACACUGGACUGAGACACGGGCCAGACUCCUACGGGAGGCAGCAGUGGGGAAUAUUGGACAAUGGGCGAUAGCCUGAUCCAGCAAUGCCGCGUGAGUGAUGAAGGCCUUAGGGUUGUAAAGCUCUUUUACCAGGGAUGAUAAUGACAGUACCUGGAGAAUAAGCUCCGGCUAACUCCGUGCCAGCAGCCGCGGUAAUACGGAGGGAGCUAGCGUUGUUCGGAAUUACUGGGCGUAAAGCGCGCGUAGGCGGUGACUAGUCAGGGGUGAAAUCCCGGGGCUCAACCCCGGAACUGCCUUUGAAACUAGGUCGCUAGAAUCUUGGAGAGGCGAGUGGAAUUCCGAGUGUAGAGGUGAAAUUCCUAGAUAUUCGGAAGAACACCAGAGGCGAAGGCGACUCGCUGGACAAGUAUUGACGCUGAGGUGCGAAAGUGUGGGGAGCAAACAGGAUUAGAUACCCUGGUAGUCCACACCGUAAACGAUGAUAACUAGCUGUCCGGGCUCUUGGAGUUUGGGUGGCGCAGCUAACGCAUUAAGUUAUCCGCCUGGGGAGUACGGUCGCAAGAUUAAAACUCAAAGGAAUUGACGGGGGCCUGCACAAGCGGUGGAGCAUGUGGUUUAAUUCGAAGCAACGCGCAGAACCUUACCAGCCUUUGACAUCCUGGUCGCGGAUUAGAGAGAUCUUUUCCUUCAGUUCGGCUGGACCAGUGACAGGUGCUGCAUGGCUGUCGUCAGCUCGUGUCGUGAGAUGUUGGGUUAAGUCCCGCAACGAGCGCAACCCUCGUCCUUAGUUGCCACCAUUUAGUUGGGCACUCUAAUGAAACUGCCGGUGAUAAGCCGGAGGAAGGUGGGGAUGACGUCAAGUCCUCAUGGUCCUUACAGGCUGGGCUACACACGUGCUACAAUGGCGGUGACAGUGAGCAGCGAGACCGCGAGGUCGUGCUAAUCUCCAAAAGCCGUCUCAGUUCGGAUUGUUCUCUGCCCCUCGAGAGCAUGAAGGCGGAAUCGCUAGUAAUCGCGGAUCAGCAUGCCGCACUGAAUACUCUCCCCAGGCCUUGUACACUGCCUGCCGUC